UUUGUGCACUGGUCUAUCUAGAUUAAUCACCAUCCCCAUGAUGAUCCUAUGAUCAGGAGUAAUUUAAAAAUUAACCAUGAAUGACACGUGUCUCAAAUUCUUAACUCUUUGAGAAUAUGUGUCAUCAUCUUAUUAAUCCCUUGGAUGAUUCGUAGACACAUAAAAUAUGAAUGGUAAUAUAAAUAUUCAUUAAGUAUAAAAUCAUAUUCUAGUAAUAUGACAUGCAUCAGCCA
rnacentral:lncRNA from 1 species